GGCUGCUUGUCUCUCUCUAUCAGUGCUUCAAGUAUGAAAGCUGUGUUUGCACUGCGUUUAUUUUGGAGUUAACUGUGUUCUUUGUCAAUCCCCUGUGAUUAGAUUAGUGGGUGUGAUGAAGUUGGGUUGGUUUACUCGUCAGGAUCAAUAGUUCACCUUUGAAACUCUGCAUACAUGUGGAAGAAUAGCUUAUCAUGUUAGAAAUCCUCCUGAUUUGUUCAGGUAGUGCUCUAAUUUGAACUCACCUGUGUAGCUGUGGCGACUGACGGCUCUCGGCCUUGAGAUGUUUCACUGAAUGGAGACUGAAAAUUGAAGAGCUGCAGGAUCACAAACACACCAUUGAAGCCACAGCAGCCUGAAGUCUCUUUCUCGGGCUCCAUCACAUCAUGCAGGUGAAACCUGGGCUCAGCAGGCAGCUGCACUGAACGUCUCACCAGCUCCCUGUACAGGACAGGAUAAGAAUUACAGGAAUAAACAUGUACUGGAAUAUUUAUAAAGGCAUGAUCCACGUUCAGUCCGGUCUUGGCGCUGGUCUCCAGGAAAAUGACCCCAUACUCCUGCCAAAACCAUAUGAAGAAGUUUGAAUGUAGCAGGGUUGUUACAGUUUUUAAUUUUAUUUUCAAUUGGUCAUUCCAAUUUAGUUUGGUUUUCACUCUUUAAAUGUUUAACUGAUGCAUUUAAAGCUGCACUAUGUAAGAUUUUGUGGUUAAAAAUGAACAAAUUGCCAUUAUUGAUUGAGUACAUCAACAAACAGUGUUUAAAACGUUACCCCGAUUCACUACUGUAAACCUAUAAAUAUGAUUUGUAUUUUGAGCUGUCGGGUUCGAUUUGCAUCAUUACGUCAUGUCCGCACACACAGGAAAGAAGUGCCGUCCGUCUCGUGUUCCGGCUGCAGAAACGAACUACACUGUUCAGUUCAGGACAGCAUCACUGCAGUCUAGAUGGAUGUUUAUCUGUUAUCUGUUUAAGUUGUUUACCUGCUAUAAUGCUGAAUAUGUUGUCUGGUAUUGUUGUUGAAGCUUAUAUAUGGAGUGGUGUUGGCAUAGUGGACUAAAGCACUGAACUGGUAAGCAGAAGGUUGCUGGUUCGAUCCCCACAGCCACCACCAUUGUGUCCUUGAGCAAGGCACUUAACUCCAGGUUGCUCCAGGGGGAUUGUCCCUGUAAUAAGGGUACUGUAAUUCGCUUUGGAUAAAAGCGUCUGCCAAAUGCAUAAAUGUAAAUGUUAUAUUGUUUGUCAUGCUUUUAUGAAUGGAACAUUACUUGUGUGUUAACCGAUCGUGAUGUAUCUACAUUGUUUAUCUUCAUCAAAGCAAGUAAUAUUUCCAUUUCAAAUGUUUAAAGAGCAGCUAUUAUGGUUUUUCAAAUAUUAUCUUUCAUGUAGUGUGUUAUAUAGCUGUUUGUGAAUGUAAAAAAGUCUGCAAAGUUUCUAAAAUCAAAGUGCACGACAAAUGGAGUUAUUGACUCCCAAAAGAAAGAACCGAUUCUGAACACCUGAAACGAGUCGUUAGUAAUUCCAGACUUACUUCCUGUACUAACCUACAUAAUUUGGUAACAAAAAACCCGCCUCUGGUCUUCAUUGGCUGCUCGCGAACAGCUUUGACCCGCCCUCAAACACUACACUAAGCGGUAGACCAAUCACAACAGACUGGGACAUCUGACCAAUCAGAGCAGAGUAUGCUCUCUGAAAGGAGGAGUUUAGAAUGAAUCCUUUAGAACGGAUCAUUGAACGAGUCGUUUUUGACACUGAGAAAAAAAGGUAACGCUGCAAUUUAAAUUAUGAGCAAAUUAAAGUGUUUUUUUGACCUUGGAUGUAUGUACAUCUAUUGUGUGAGACCUUUAAAACAAAAUUAGGCACGUUUAAAAACCAUAAUAGGUGCUCUUUAAUCGUAUAACAUAAUAUCAACAUGAAAAUAGCACACAGGAAAUGUCCAGUUAAGCUCAAACUGGCCGAAACACGACUGACGUAAAGUGUUCUUCCGCAUGCAAUUUCAAGUUUCAACCACAGAUGUCGCUAGAGAGCACAAAGUUACAUAGUGCAGCUGUAACUGAUAAGUUUGGUUUGUUUUUCAGAUUUUUCUAGUUUCAGUUUAGUAUUUUAUGGCUGCCAAAGCUAUCAUUUAAAUAUGCUUGAUGUCAUUACAUUUCUCAGGGCAGUCUUGUGUUACCGCUAUCAUUUUCAUGUUUAAUUAAGGCGGAUUGUAAAUGCUGAUGUAGUAUAUCAGAGUAGAGCAUUUUCCAUGGAAAGUUCCAAUAUUUUUAAGAUUUAUUAAAAGUGGACAACACAGUACCUUUACAGGUUUUCCAUGACCGUAUAGGAACACUGACUAGUACAGAG